GAUGAACGCUAGCGGCAGGCCUAAUACAUGCAAGUCGGACGGGAUUCCGGAGCUUGCUUCUGAUGAGAGUGGCGCACGGGUGCGUAACACGUAUGUAACCUACCUUUAUCAGGGGGAUAGCCUCUCGAAAGAGAGAUUAAGCCCGCAUAAAAUCACAGCACAGCAUUGUGUAGUGAUCAAAUAUUUAUAGGAUAAAGAUGGGCAUGCGGAACAUUAGCUAGAUGGCGGGGUAACGGCCCACCAUGGCGACGAUGUUUAGGGGUUCUGAGAGGAUGGCCCCCCACACGGGGACUGAGACACGGACCAGACUGCUACGGGAGGCAGCAGUAAGGAAGAUAGGUCAAUGGGCGGAAGCCUGAACCAGCCAUGCCGCGUGCAGGAAGGCGGCCUUACGGGUUGUAAACUGCUUUUAUACGGGAAUAAACCCAGAUACGUGUAUCUGGCUGAAGGUACUGGAAGAAUAAGGAUCGGCUAACUCCGUG
rnacentral:rRNA from 1 species